rnacentral:rRNA from 1 species
UUUCGCUGAAAGACCAAGGGUUCCAGUCCAACGUUAAUCGGGGCUGGGUGAGUCGACCCCUAAGGCGAGGCCGAAAGGCGUAGUCGAUGGGAAAUUGGUUAAUAUUCCAAUACUUCUGUGUAAUGCGAUGAGAGGACGGAGAAGGUUAAGUCAGCCUGGCGAUGGUUGUCCAGGUGAAAGGUUGUAGGCAUGUAUCUUAGGCAAAUCCGGGGUACUCUAUGCUGAGAACUGAUAGCAAGCUGUACUUGUACAGCGAAGUGGCUGAUACCAUGCUUCCAGGAAAAGUCUCUAAGCUUCAGUUACACAGGAAUCGUACCCGAAACCGACACAGGUGGUCAGGUCGAGUAGACCAAAGCGCUUGAGAGAACUCUGCUGAAGGAACUAGGCAAAAUGGUACCGUAACUUCGGGAGAAGGUACGCUGUCGACGGUGAUGGGAUUUACUCCCUGAGCGGUUGACAGCCACAGAAACCAGGCCCCUGCAACUGUUUAUUAAAAACAUAGCACUCUGCAAACACGAAAGUGGACGUAUAGGGUGUGAUGCCUGCCCGGUGCUGGAAGGUUAAUUGAUGGGGUUAGCGUAAGCGAAGCUCUUGAUCGAAGCCCCAGUAAACGGCGGCCGUAACAAUAACGGUCCUAAGGUAGCGAAAUUCCUUGUCGGGUAAGUUCCGACCUGCACGAAUGGCAUAAUGAUGGGGGCGCUGUCUCCAGCAGAGACUCAGUGAAAUCGAAUUCGCCGUGAAGAUGCGGUGUACCCGCGGCUAGACGGAAAGACCCCGUGAACCUUUACUGCAGCUUGACAUUGAACUUUGAUCUUACUUGUGUAGGAUAGGUGGGGGGCUUUGAAACCGAGACGCUAGUUUCGGUGGAGCCAAUCUUGAAAUACCACCCUGGUAAUAUUGAGGUUCUAACUCUGCUCCAUAAUCUGGAGCGAGGACCAUGUCUGGUGGGUAGUUUGACUGGGGCGGUCUCCUCCUAAAGAGUAACGGAGGAGUACGAAGGUGCGCUCAGCGUGGUCGGAAAUCACGCGUAGAGUAUAAAGGCAAAAGCGCGCUUAACUGCGAGACCCACAAGUCGAGCAGGUACGAAAGUAGGUCUUAGUGAUCCGGUGGUUCUGUAUGGAAGGGCCAUCGCUCAACGGAUAAAAGGCACUCUGGGGAUAACAGGCUGAUACCGCCCAAGAGUUCAUAUCGACGGCGGUGUUUGGCACCUCGAUGUCGGCUCAUCUCAUCCUGGGGCUGAAGCAGGUCCCAAGGGUAUGGCUGUUCGCCAUUUAAAGAGGUACGCGAGCUGGGUUUAGAACGUCGUGAGACAGUUCGGUCCCUAUCUACCGUGGGCGCUGGAAAUUUGAGAGGAUCUGCUCCUAGUACGAGAGGACCAGAGUGGACGAACCUCUGGUGUACCGGUUGUGACGCCAGUCGCAUCGCCGGGUAGCUAUGUUCGGAAGGGAUAACCGCCGAAAGCAUCUAAGCGGGAAGCCUACCUCAAGAUAAGAUUUCCCUGUGACUUUAUGCACCUAAAGAGCCGUUGAAGACUACGACGUUGAUAGGUUGGAUGUGGAAGUGCAGUGAUGCAUGAAGCUGACCAAUACUAAUUGCUCGUGAGGCUUGAUU